CACAACCUAGAUCCCUCACAUGUGCAGGUCAUGAUAGGGUUCGCACUUCUGUGAGAAUCUAUUGCAAUGGCUGAUCUAACAGGAGGCGGAGCUCAGGUGGUAAUGUUCGCUUGCCUCCUGCUAUGCGGCUCGGUUCCCAACAGGCCACAGACUGACACUGGUCCAUGGCCCAGGGAUUGGGGACCCCUGCUUUAGAGGGCUGUUGCAAGAUUUGAUAAAGUAUGUAAAAUCUAGUGUAAGUGCCUGAUACAUAGCAAGGGCUCAGUUAAUUCUAGAUGCUGCCUAUUAUCAUUAUUAAAUGAGCAAAAACAACUAUUGUGAUUACUCUUCUACCCUAGCCCUCUGACAUAACAGCCAAAGAGCUAGAAAACCAUGUGGACUCCUAUGAAGCCAUUCUAAGUCACCUGGUCCUAUAGCUGAAGGACUGUGAAGUUCCAAACUUCAAUCUGACAACCCCUAAGAAGGUCUUCCCUGGUUCUGGCUUGCAGGGAUAUCAGGAGUAUGCAGGUGACUCCCAAAGCAGAAAGGUCAUAAAGGACAAGGGCAGGUUAGAUGGGUCCAUUGAGAGACGGAGAAGCCCCCUGCUCCUCACUGAGUUGUGGUCAGGGGCAGUGGAGAAAGGUCUGAGGUCCAAGGGGACCCCAAGUCUGAAUAUAACGCAGCCACAGAAUGCCUGUGCUGAAGUGAGACUGCUCCAGGGAGACAAGCAGUAGCACAAUGUCCCGAGUUGAGGGGUUGGGGUUGUCCUCCCCUGGCCCAGGGAACACUAUGCCCAGGGCAGCCUGAUGUCACAACUGGUAAGGACCACUGGAGCCUGAGUCGGGAGGAAAACAGCCUGGGUGGUCAUAAAGAAUGGCAGAGGGCCAGAGCAGGGAUGUGGCAAGACUGGCACCCUUGAAGUCACCAGAAAGCUAUCCCCUUGGACUUGGGCAGAAGUGGCUCUUAAUAUGAUGAUGUAUUAUCAUUAAUAGUUGCCACCUGCUACCAUGUAUUGAGCACCUAUUGUGUGCCAGACCUAGCACUUAGCUCUUUACAUGGGUUAUCUCAUGUGAUCAUUGUAAGAACCCUAAGGAGGUUUUUCUUACUAUCCUCCAUUUUACAGGUAAGAAAACUGAGGCUCAAAGAGGUUAAAUCAGUUGUUCCAGGUGCAUAGCUUGGGCACCUAGCUUGCAAGUGACAAGGCGAGCCCAGUGCCACCCACACCAGCUCUGGUUCUUUGCCUCCAGCCCUGGCUCCUUUCUCCAACCAUCUUCCCUCUCUGCCCCGGGCAGGUGGGGAGAAAAGGAAGAAAGAGAGGCCCACGUCAUGUGUUUCAGCUUCCCUUUCCCUCUCUGCUGGUGCCCACUGGCCCUCACACCCAUUUCUUGUUGCAGGAAGGUGAACAAGUGCUACCGGGGCCGCUCCUGCCCCAUCAUCGUGCACUGCAGUGACGGUGCGGGGAGGACCGGCACCUACAUCCUCAUCGACAUGGUCCUGAACCGCAUGGCAAAAGGAGUGAAGGAGAUUGACAUCGCUGCCACCCUGGAGCAUGUCCGUGACCAGCGGCCUGGCCUUGUCCGCUCUAAGGACCAGUUUGAAUUUGCCCUGACAGCCGUGGCGGAGGAAGUGAAUGCCAUCCUCAAGGCUCUGCCCCAGUGAGACCCUGGGGCCCCUUGGCGGGCAGCCCAGCCUCUGUCCCUCUUUGCCCGUGUGAGCAUCUCUGUGUACCCACUCCUCACUGCCCCACCAGCCACCUCUUGGGCAUGCUCAGCUCUUCCUAGAAGAGUCAGGAAGGGAAAGCCAGAAGGGGCACACCUGCCCAGCCUCACGCAUGCCAGAGCUGGGGCAUCCCAGAGCCCAGGGCAUCCCAUGGGGGUGCUGCAGCCAGGAGGAGAGGAAAGGACAUGGGUAGCAAUUCUACCCAGAGCCUUCUCCUGCCUACAUUCCCUGGCCUGGCUCUCCUGUAGCUCUCCUGGGGUUCUGGGAGCUCCCCGAACAUCUGUGUGUGUCCCCCUAUGCUCCAGUAUGGAAGAAUGGGGUGGAGGGUCGCCACACCCGGCUCCCCCUGCUUCUCAGCCCCGGGCCUGCCUCUGACUCACACUCGGGCGCUCUGCCCUCCCUGGCCUCACGCCCAGCCUCCUCCCACCACCCUCCCACCAUGCGCUGCUCAACCUCUCUCCUUCUGGCGCAAGAGAACAUUUCUAGAAAAAACUACUUUUGUACCAGUGUGAAUAAAGUUAGUGUGUUGUCUGUGCAGCUGC
rnacentral:sRNA from 1 species